CUUAUGUCGCACAGCGGCAGUCGAGACGAAGAAAUUCGAUUGUCAGUCCUCCUGAAAAGUUGCUUCUUCGAAACCCGGAGCUGACAAGGAUAUGUACAGGACCUGAUCAUCUACACCGGCCCCACCACAGAUAUAAGGCAUUUUGAGGGUCUCUGCAUAUCUGGAUCAGUGAUCUCCAUGCUGCAGCCUUACCUCAAAGGGUUACACUGUAUUUGUGGGCAACUGGUACAGUAGCACUACCCUUUUCCAGUACCUUUUUGAGGUAGAACACAGGGGCCAUUCACAAAUACGAGUGAAAUACUUGCACAGUGGAACCCUGAUCACCUGCCAACGUGAUCACUGUGUACCUUGUCAGAAUACUUUUGGGAACCACCUUCUUGCACAGACUGAGAAGGAUGUGGAGGUUUUUGACGAGUCCUGUUGUCAAUCAAUGUGAGACUGAACAUUGACAAGGUGCAGGAGAAACAGAAGGAGAGCUACCGGGGGAGAAUCAAGAAGGGGAAGUAAAGAAGGGCAAGUACUUCGACAUCUGGGCAAAUUACUUGGGUUUGGAAGAAGCACGAAAGGAAGGCAAGACUUGGGGGAACCUCGCUGCUUUUUCGCUCCUAGCUGGAGUCACCAUCCGUUAAGGGUUACCUCGGUGGAAGCUAACAACCUUCCCCAGUUGGACGGUCGACCACCGAAAGCCCUGAUGCCCUGCACUUCAGUGAAGCCCAUUAGACAAAGACCAUCGACUGUCCGAGCACCCCAGGAGGUAUCCCAUCCACCAGAGCCAGUGAGUUCAGAUCAGUCUGGUUCUCUGAGUCAGAAGGGUACCAGCCUGAUGUCCUCAAUUACCAACCACUCUCCAACUUUUCAUUACAUCUGCUACAGCUACUGUUGUUGUCAUUAUCUGCUAAGAAAUAUUUUGUGCUCUAUCAUGCUGGGCACAUAUGUGCGAUACACAGAUUAACUAACUAAAAACACUUGCACUGCAAACACUCCGAACAAAGAGAGCGCAGCAGUGACUGGACUUUGCAGUCUCCCUCUUCAAGUCCCCCUUCUGAGACUGGCUGCCUGUCGAGAACAAGUGACAGGCAGAACCUCUCACCCACACAGCAACCACCUCCUUUAUAAUCCACACACCAGAAUUCUGUAUUUUAGUUUUUGAUUGCCAUGAGUGUACAAAGAAUCUGUGAAAAAUAUUAGUGCCACAACUGUACCAAAGGAAUAUCAAUGUUUAUGUAUUAAAAUCUUUAAUAGGUUGGUUUUCA